UUCUUCACACUGUGCUUGGUGAAGUAGAAACGACUGGUCCACGGGAUGUUGACAGAAUAGAAUCUACACUUUAGAAUUUUUUUGUCGACCGUUUUCUUUUGGCAGUUUGUCUUUACGUCGGUAAUCCCCAUCUUCAUCGCCUACACAUUAUCUCCAGUCUUUGGUACCAGUGAUUGUUUUCUCUACCCGCCGUACAGUGCGUUAUUAACAAAAUGAAGGCUACUGCUCCCGUCCGCCCCCAGAAGGAUACCUCAAGCAGCAGCAACGAGCUUUCUUUACACUAUCUCUCGGAUCACAGCCUGAACAUCGCCCGGUGUAGGGCGGAGGAAGAAGAGCAGCUGUGUCUGCAGGACGAUAUGAACCACUGUUACAGUCGCCUCAAGCGCCUCGUACCCACAAUACCUCGGGAUAAGAAAGUCAGCAAGGUGGAGAUCCUUCAGCAUGUCAUAGAUUACAUCUUGGACCUGCAGCUCGCCUUAGAGACGCACCCUUCUCUCCUGAAACAACAGACGGGGACCGUGACCGGGACCGGGACCGUGACCGGGACAUGCCCGCCGUCCCCCGCCUCUCAUCGGACACCUCUAACCGUUCUCAACAUAGACCACCAGAGGAUGUCAACAGGCAAAAAGGAGGACUCCGUUUUGUGUCGCUGAGAAAUGGCCAAUGGUGUGCAGAGCGGUGCGGUGCACAGAGCAGGGAGCAGAGCUGAGAGCAGAGCAGAGCAGGGGAGAGCUGCUCCAGUCCACAGCCAGCACAGCCUCAGCCUCCAGCCAGGGAAUCUCAGCCAGCCACAGGAAGCUUUAUCACACAGGGGAUCCCCCCGCUGGAGAACCUACUACUGGCAAAUCAAGCCCUAUUUAUAACACAUUUAUUAGAAACAAACAAAAGACUGCUAUGUCCAACAGACCCCUAACUCUCCAUACCUUCACUUUAUAUGUGAAAUACAAUUAGAAUCUAAAAGGGUGAAUGAAGAAUCCCUUGUUGUGAGGUCAUGCUGGAAACUCGAGCUUGUUGAACGUCAAAUACCAGUUUAUAAAAUGUGACAAAUACCGGUUUAUAAAAUAAAAAUAACUAAACCUACAGUGUGAAACUUUACUAAACAGGAAAAUAAUUGUACGUGUUUUCCAUGAGAUAAACAUGUUUCAUAUUGUAAAGAGGAACAAAUGACUGGAGACAAUUAAGAUUGUCUAUGUAGAAACAGAUGCUCUAUGUGGAAGAACAUAUCUAUUAUGCUCAAAUAGACUAUUGUAAUUAUAAGAUAUUUUUAUUAAAACCUUUUGUUAUGUAAAUAAUGUGUUUUCACUUUGAAGUGGAUGAAAUAAUAAUAAAUCAAGAUGUUGUGUUGAUAGACUCUUCACAUCACAUCAGUUCAUUUUGCAGUGUUAUAUUUCAACGUAUUGUUUCAGUUCUAUUGCAAUGUUAUAGGUUUAACAAGCAUGUAGCAUGUAAAGGCCUCACUCAAAGCUGGAAGAGCAGACUAAAAUGUGUACUAAAACUAUUUGGUAAAGUCUAAAUUCCCUUGUUUUAUAUUGCCUUCAAUUGUUUUUCCUCUUGUAUUUAUUUAAUUUAGGAAUUUGAAAUGUUGACGUUUUGGGCAAUUUUAACCAAUGUGAAAACCAGACUUUAGAUGUCUGAUUUGAUUUGAUUGUUGAUGAUUUGAUAACAUUUGGCUGUAACUGUUGGAGAAGAAGAAUAGAUGCUAUGGCUGGAGCUUGUUCUGAGGACUAGAAGGACCAAACUAACCUCCAAUCACUGCAUCAGAUUGUUCUGAGGACUAGAAGGACCAAACUAACCUCCAAUCACUGCAUCAGAUUGUUCUGAGGACUGGAAGGACCAAACUAACCUCCAAUCACUGCAUCAGAUUGUUCUGAGGACUAGAAGGACCAAACUAACCUCCAAUCACUGCAUCAGAUUGUUCUGAGGACUGGAAGGACCAAAGUAACCUCCAAUCACUGCAUCAGAUUGUUCUGAGGACUGGAAGGACCAAACUAACCUCCAAUCACUGCAUCAGAUUGUUCUGAGGACUAGAAGGACCAAAGUAACCUCCAAUCACUGCAUCAGAUUGCUGUGCUAUCCCUGUAAGGAUUUUCAUGGUGAAUUAUACCUCUGAGCCACGGUCUGUGUGAGAGGACAGCUGUCCAGUAUUUACUGUGUUGCACUGUUGGACAACAUGACCUUCACGUGAUGGAGAGGAAGAGUUGUCAUAACAUUAAAGGGUUUCCAGUCACACUUCA